rnacentral:piRNA from 1 species
UGCACUGUGUUAAUCAUGUUCCUCUUUGACC